CCUUCGACUUUGCUCAUGUUAGGGUGAGGUUCUCCUCCUGUCCCUAACAUGGCUGUGGGGGCACAUAAGGGCGUUGUAGGGCCUCUCCCCCCAUCCAGUCUAAGGAGAACCGGGCCUUCGACUUUGCUCAUGUUAGGGCAAGGUUCUCCUCCUAUCCCUAACAUGGCUGUGGGGGCACAUAAAGGCAUUGUAGGGCCCUCCCCCCAUCCGAUCUAAGGAGAAUCGGACCUUCGACUUUGCUCAUGUUAGGGCGAGAUUCUCCUCCAGUCCCUAUCAUGGCUAUGGGGGUGCAUAAGGGUCUUAUAGGACCUCUCCCCCCAUCCGAUCUAAGGAGAAUCGGCCCUUCGACUUUGCUCAUGUUAGGGCGAGGUUCUCCUCCUAUUCCUAACAUGGCCGUGGGGGCACAUAAGGGCCGUUAUAUGGGCCUCUCCCUCCCUCCGAUCUUAAAAUAACUGGACUUCCAACUUUACUCAAGUUAGGAUGAGGUUCUCCUCCUGUUCCUAACAUGGCCGUGGGGGCACAUAAGGGCCGUUAUAUGGGCC
rnacentral:lncRNA from 1 species